rnacentral:rRNA from 1 species
CAGGGCGUCCGAGUUGUAAUCUAUAGAGGCGUUUUCCGUGCCGGACCGUGUCCAAGUCCCUUGGAACAGGGUAUCAAAGAGGGUGACAAUCCCGUACUUGACACGACUACCGGUGCUCUGUGAUACGUCUUCUACGAGUCGAGUUGUUUGGGAAUGCAGCUCAAAAUGGGUGGUGAGUUCCAUCUAAAGCUAAAUAUUGGCGAGAGACCGAUAGCGAACAAGUACCGUGAGGGAAAGAUGAAAAGCACUUUGGAAAGAGAGUUAAACAGUACGUGAAAUUGUUGAAAGGGAAACGAUUGAAGUCAGUCGUGACCGAGAGGCUCAGCCGGCUCUGCCGGUGUAUUCCCCUCGGUCGGGUCAACAUCAGUUUUGUCCGGUGGAUAAGGGCGGCAGGAAUGUGGCACCCUCGGGUGUGUUAUAGCCUGCUGUCGCAUACACCGGGUGAGACUGAGGAACGCAGCUCGCCUUUAUGGCCGGGGCCCGCCCACGUACGAGCUUAGGAUGUUGACGUAAUGGCUUUAAACGACCCGU